rnacentral:rRNA from 1 species
AUCUCAGUUCGGAUUGCAGGCUGCAACUCGCCUGCAUGAAGCUGGAAUUGCUAGUAAUCGCGGAUCAGCAAGCCGCGGUGAAUACGUUCCCGGGCCUUGUACACACCGCCCGUCACACCAUGAGAGUCGGGAACACCCGAAGUCCGUAGUCUAACCGCAAGGGGGGCGCGGCCGAAGGUGGGUCCGGUAAUUGGGAUGAAGUCGUAACAAGGUAAC